UUAUCUUGGUUUAUGUCCUUGUCUUCUAUUUUGGUUUAGGGAAGGUCUAAUGCAUGCAAAUGUGUUAUCUUAUUCUUGUUCUUUCCCUUACCUGUCAUUCGAGGAAGAAAGAUCCUAGUGGGAGAGUAUGAAACACCCUAAGUUUUGGACCAUUGCAAAAUUUCAAGAGUUUUGGACUUCUUGGACUUGGUACGACUCAAGGGCACCAAUCGUACCCUUGGAUACGAUUUGAGGGUGGAUCACUUGUAUAAUAGGCAGUGUGUUAGGUUUGGGUUCUACCCAAGAUACAACUCAAUAUUCUAUGAGUCAUAUGGGUGGAUACGAGGGGCAUGGUGCCAAGUUGUAUCAUGCCUUAGGUGUAGUCUUGUGAAACUGUCCAAGGUUUGGGUUGUAGGUAAGGUUUGGGGUACCACUCGUACCCUAUGGUAGGAGUUAGGUUUGUGUAGUCAUAUUGAGAUCAGUGUGGAGGGUCUUGGUAAGGUCUAGGGUAUAAGUUAGGGUACCACUCGUACCCCAGGGUAUGGGUUAGGGGUUUGGGUCAUAACCUCCUGGGAAUGGAUUUUCAACUUUUAAGUUAGGGACUUUUUGGACAUUU
rnacentral:lncRNA from 1 species